CCAUCCACCUUACAAAAUCUAAUUUCAAGUUAUCAGUCCUCCAAACAUCUCUCAAGUCACCAAUGUUGUCUAAAGACUAACAAAUCCAUGGAAACUUUUCAGUUCUUUUUUUUUCUUCUUCUUUUUUUUUUUUUUUUAGUAAGAGACGGGGUCUCGCUAUGUUGCCCAGGCUGGAGUGCAGUGGCUAUUCACAGGAUUCCCACUACUGAUCAGCACAGGAGUUUUGACCUGCUCCGUUUCCGACCGGUUCACCCUUCCUUAGGCAACCUCGUGGUUCCCGGCUCCCUGGAGGUCACCAUAUUGUUGCCGAAUUUAGUGCGGACACCGGGAUUCGAAUAGCGCUCUACAGCCCAGAACUCCUGGGCUCAAGCAAUCCUCCCACCUCAGCCUCCCGAGAGAUGGGAAGAG